rnacentral:lncRNA from 1 species
GAAAAUCUUAAGUUUAGAGUGGCAACAGAAAAAAAGGUUCAUCUUCAAGGUUUCCCCUUUAACAAAUGAGAAUAGAUUUCAAAGAGACUGAAGCACCUGCCAGUAUAUGCAGACUAAGAACUGCCAGAGGGUUUUAUUUCCAGUUGUACCUCCUCCAUCUCACAGAUGCCUUUCUUCAUGUCAGUGCCAAAGAAUGGCUAGCAGGAUCUUUGCCCUUGUUUGGAAGAAGAGUACUUCCUGUGAGACUGGGACAUAGUGAAUUGAUGCUUAAGACUUUUGAUGUACCUGCAUCAUGGUGCCUGUGCCAAACAGCAGUUACAGUGACUCACUGCUGUGAAAAAGUUACAAUUCUGAAUCAAAGGAGACAAGGACACAUGGUACAAGCCGUUCAUCCAUUCAUGAGGAGAACAAAACCUGCAACUGUUUUAUCAGAUUGCCUGGUGGAUCCUGUGGGCCUUUUGGCACUUAGCAGCACAGUACCCAAGUGCCUUUGUGGAACAUGCAUUGGAAAUUUCCAUAAUUUUUUAGCUGAGGAUUUAGGAAAAGUGCCUUUCCUCAGCUGGAAAGCUGGAACUGAAGAGGGACCAGGGACUUUGCAGAUGGAAAAACUGGGACAAAAGAGCAGCAAAGAAGCAACUGUKGUGUUCUUGUAGAAAUGGUCCACGCACAGGAAAUCCAGACGUAGAAGAAGGCAAGAAACUGAGGGAAGGCAACGUCAUGGAUGUAAAGGAGAAACACUUAGAGAGCAAAACAGUCUUUAGGAAAGGAUUUAUUUAAAAGGAGGUGAUGUUUUUUAAAGACAUGAUAUGAAAGCAGAGAGAAGUUUGAAUUUGAUUUGCUGGCCUCUUUAAGUAACAUAGGUUUUCUCAUAUAAGAAGGUGGAUCCUUGCUGGACAAUACUGUGAGUAUACAAGCAAGAGGAUUUGAGGAACUAGUGAUAGGGAGAUUUCCCUUUUUAAUUCAUUUUACUUUUCCAUAAUAUCCUCAGGAAAACUAAUACAUUUGGUUGGCAUAUUAGUGUUGGGGACUGUCUUUGAGCUGCCAUUCUUAUAUUCAGUUCUAUUAAAAAAUACACAGUGUGGAUAUUUUGCAACUUUAAACUUGUGUUUGUAACUUUUUUCCUUCUGCUUUUCUUAAAAGUAUUUUGUAUUUCUGUCUCUCUGGAGCCAAAAGAGUUGCCACACUGCAGCUCAGGGACUGCUUUCUCGUGGUAUCCCCUCGCAAGAUACUGCACAGGUAUAUACUGUCUGUUCUAGGCUGUAGUCCCUGUGCCAGCGUAUUAUCGUGCCAGGCUCGGARCUAGACCAACAUUUAUGGGCCUGUUGUCUUUGAUUUGUCUAAUCCCCAUUUUAAAUUUACUGAGCAAAUCUGCCUUCACAACCMACAAUGACAGCAAAUUGUGGAAGUUCACUACCUGCUGCGUAGAAAAGACACCUCUUUAUUUUCAGUGCAACUUUUUUGCAAGACUUAAAGGCUGG